GGAUGUACCUCAGUGGUAGAGUGCUUGCCUAGCAUGCUUGAAGCCCUCGGUUCAAUCCCCAGCACCA
rnacentral:tRNA from 1 species